rnacentral:rRNA from 1 species
GACGUAGGGCGCGAGCGUUGUCCGGAUUUAUUGGGCGUAAAGAGCUCGUAGGCGGCUUGUCGCGUCGUUCGUGAAAACCUGCAGCUCAACUGCAGGCUUGCGGUCGAUACGGGCAGGCUAGAGUUCGGUAGGGGAGACUGGAAUUCCUGGUGUAGCGGUGAAAUGCGCAGAUAUCAGGAGGAACACCGGUGGCGAAGGCAGGUCUCUGGGCCACUACUGACGCUGAGAAGCGAAAGCGUGGGGAGCGAACAGG